rnacentral:rRNA from 1 species
GACGAACGCUGGCGGCGUGCUUAACACAUGCAAGUCGAACGCACAGGCCAUGCUGUUGCGGGCUACACCAGUGGCGAACGGGUGCGUACCACUUGAUUACCCUGCCGUUGCCUUUGGGGUAACUUCAGGUAACUAGGGCAAACAAUGGCUAAGACCUCCUGCUACUUGGUGGUGGUUGGAAAGUUUUGGCGGUUGGGGAUUGACUCGCGGCUUGUCAGCUCGUCGGUGAGGUAGCUGGUUGCCAAGGCGUCGACGGAUAGCCGGCCUGAGAGGGAGACCGGCCACAGUGGGACUGAGGUACGGCCCAGACGGCUACGGGAGGCAGCAGUGGGGGAUAGUGCGAGAUGGGCGGAGGCCGUAUGCAGGAUCUCCGCGUGCGGGAUGACUGCCGUCGGGGUGGAAACCGCUUUCGCCUGGGACGAAGCGUGAGUGACGGUAACGUAUAAAGAAGCACCGGCUAACUACGUG